UACGUAGGGGGCAAGCGUUGUCCGGAUUUAUUGGGCGUAAAGAGCGUGUAGGCGGCCAAGCAGGUCCGUUGUGAAAACUCGAGGCUCAACCUCGAGACGCCGAUGGAAACCAUCUGACUAGAGUCCGGAAGAGGAGAGUGGAAUUCCUGGUGUAGCGGUGAAAUGCGCAGAUAUCAGGAAGAACACCCGUGGCUAAGGCGGCUCUCUAGUACGGUACUGACGCUGAGACGCGAAAGCGUGGGGAGCGAACAGG
rnacentral:rRNA from 1 species